rnacentral:rRNA from 1 species
UACGUAGGGUGCAAGCGUUGUCCGGAAUUAUUGGGCGUAAAGAGCUCGUAGGCGGUCUGUCGCGUCGGAUGUGAAAAAUCCAGGGCUCAACCCUGGACCUGCAUUCGAUACGGGCAGACUAGAGUUCGGUAGGGGAGACUGGAAUUCCUGGUGUAGCGGUGAAAUGCGCAGAUAUCAGGAGGAACACCGGUGGCGAAGGCGGCUCACUGGCCCCGGUACUGACGCUGAGGUGCGAAAGCGUGGGGGAGCAAACAGGAUCGAG